GGCCGGCAUGGUCCCAGCCUCCUCGCUGGCGCUGGCUGGGCAACAUUCCGAGGGGACCGUCCCCUCGGUAAUGGCGAAUGGGACGCGGCCGAUCCGGCUGCUAACAAAGCCCGAAAGGAAGCUGAGUUGGCUGCUGCCACCGCUGAGCAAUAACUAGCAUAACCCCUUGGGGCCUCUAAACGGGUCUUGAGGGGUUUUUUGCUGAAAGGAGGAACUAUAUCCGGAU
rnacentral:misc_RNA from 1 species